rnacentral:rRNA from 1 species
GACAGAGGGUGCAAACGUUGUUCGGAAUUACUGGGCGUAAAGCGCGUGUAGGCGGCCCUGCAAGUCGGAUGUGAAAUCCCACGGCUCAACCGUGGAAGUGCAUUCGAAACUGCAGGGCUAGAGUCCUGGAGGGGAAGGUGGAAUGCUUGGUGUAGAGGUGAAAUUCGUAGAUAUCAAGCGGAACACCGGUGGCGAAGGCGGCCUUCUGGACAGUGACUGACGCUGAGACGCGAAAGCGUGGGGAGCAAACAGG